CAUUUGUUUGUACUUUGAGAAACCCAACUUUUAUUACUCAUGGUCGCUGUUGUUUGGGUUUGGCAUACUAACAUUGUAAUCUAACCUGUUCGUUUGUAGUCUAGUGUUGGUUGGGGCCAGGUAAGUUGCCAAACGUAGCCAGUGCCUAUUGUGUGACUAGCCUGUAUGCUACUGUAGUGGUUGAUUCAGUGUCGUACCAAUGAAGGGAGG
rnacentral:lncRNA from 1 species